rnacentral:ncRNA from 1 species
UUUAAAUUAGGUUAAAGUAUUUUUUGCAUGUAACUUUUUUGAAGAAUAAAAUUUUUCUAAAUGAUUAAUAUUUAUAUUUUCAGUGAUUAGUUUUAAUUUACAUUAAUUUUUUAAUUUGAUGAAUAUUUUUUUAAUAUAUAAAAUCAGUAAAAUGUUAUGCCAGCAUUCGCGGUUAUAUUUCAUGAUUAAUUUAAUUUUUUUUGGAUUAACAGUUUAUUUAAUUUAAAUUUUUUUAUUUAGGUGAAAUUUAUUGAUUUUAAAUUUAUUUAUUUGUUUAAUCUAUAUGUUAGACCAGGAUUAGAUACCCUGUUAUUUUAGUUAAUUUAGUAUAUUCAGUGAGUAAUUUUUUAAUUAAAUUUAAAAAAUCUGGCGGUUUUUAAAUCUUUUUAGAGGAAUCUGUAGUUUAAACGAUAAUCCACGAUUAAUAUUACCUUAAAUUAUUUUUUGUAUAUCUCUGUCGUUGAGUGUAAUAAAAAUUUAUUUUCUUUUUAUUUUAUAGUAUGUAUGUUAGGUCAAGGUGCAAUUGUAUUUAGGUUACUAUGGGUUACAGUAAUUUUUUUUAUUUUGAUAGCUUAAUUUGUAUUAAAGUUUGAAUUUGGAUUUAAAAGUAAUUAAGUUUAUUAAAUUUUUUGAAUAGAGUUCUUAUAAAUGUACAUAUCGCCCGUCAUUCUCAUAAAUUGGGACAAGUCGUAACAAAGUAGAUGUACUGGAAAGUGUAUCUAGAAAA